rnacentral:rRNA from 1 species
UACGAAGGGGACUAGCGUUGUUCGGAAUUACUGGGCGUAAAGCGCGCGUAGGCGGAUCGCUAAGUCAGGGGUGAAAUCCCAGGGCUCAACCCUGGAACUGCCUUUGAUACUGACGAUCUGGAGAUCGGGAGAGGUUGGUGGAAUUCCGAGUGUAGAGGUGAAAUUCGUAGAUAUUAGGAAGAACACCAGUGGCGAAGGCGGCCCACUGGUCCGGUACUGACGCUGAGGUGCGAAAGCGUGGGGAGCAAACAGG